CUAACACAUCUUGUCUAGAUGAUGAUAUACCAAUCUGUAAAAAUUCGGCAGCUGUAUCUCUUGUGUGCAGAGACCGGGAUUUGAGACAACACUGCAAAAAAACAUGUGGAUUGUACCCUCCACCUACGACUCAACAGACUAUGGUGUGUGAAGAUCACGUGAUUGACUGUAAUGACCAAUCAUUUCUGUCGGCUGUUUGUGGAAGACCGGAAGCUCAGUUUUUCUGUAAAAAAUCGUGCAACAAGUGUUGAUUAAAAUUGGUUGAUAAAUGAAGUGGUUAAAUGAUGAGCCAAACCAAAACCGGGAUAAUUUACGACUAGUAUUCCAAAUCUAACUUUCUUUUAUUACGUAUCACAUAAAUCAAACUAUCAUGAAACUAUAUUACGAACUCGAAUAAACAAUCUUAAAUAUG